rnacentral:rRNA from 1 species
GACGAACGCUGGCGGCGUGCUUAACACAUGCAAGUCGAGCGAUGAAGCUCCUUCGGGAGUGGAUUAGCGGCGGACGGGUGAGUAACACGUGGGUAACCUGCCUCAUAGAGGGGAAUAGCCUUCCGAAAGGAAGAUUAAUACCGCAUAAGAUUGUAGUACCGCAUGGUAUAGCAAUUAAAGGAGUAAUCCGCUAUGAGAUGGACCCGCGUCGCAUUAGCUAGUUGGUGAGGUAACGGCUCACCAAGGCGACGAUGCGUAGCCGACCUGAGAGGGUGAUCGGCCACAUUGGGACUGAGACACGGCCCAGACUCCUACGGGAGGCAGCAGUGGGGAAUAUUGCACAAUGGGGGAAACCCUGAUGCAGCAACGCCGCGUGAGUGAUGACGGUCUUCGGAUUGUAAAGCUCUGUCUUCAGGGACGAUAAUGACGGUACCUGAGGAGGAAGCCACGGCUAACUACGUGCCAGCCGCCGCCGUAA